rnacentral:sRNA from 1 species
GUUUUGUUGUAUAUCUUAUACCAUUCAAACAAAAUAUACUCAACAUGUUGUUUUACAUAUUCCUUAGCAAAUAAAAAUUUCAAUACAUGUUCAUAAUUUCAAUACAUAUUCAUUGACAUGCGCAUUAAUACUAAGCCAACAGAUUGUUUAAAAUUUACAUAGUUUAUGUACAUAUAUUUUUAACCCCCAUAACAUCUAGUCCAACUAUUCCUGCAAUAUAGUCUUGUAACCUUGACCUUUUGCCUAGAGUCUCCAAAAUAUCUGCUGGUGAAUAAAAGAGAUGAUGAUGCGGCUGAAGCAGCUCUGAUUUGGUUCAGAAAAACAAGCAAUGUGUCUGAAGAGAUGGAGGCCAUGAAGAAAGAACGACAGAACCUCAGGAUCUCACCAAAGCUAAUUUUUGUCACUAAGGUCAGAAGUGUACACACACUUGUAUGUCUGUCAGCAAUACAUCAAGUGCACAAAGGCCAGCAACUCCUUGUGUAUCUCAUAUUAAAAUGUAUUUUGUUUAUCUUUCAACAUUUACAUCGUCUGCCCUAUACAUCACAAGGUCUGAAAUGGGUACUUUACUUUAAAAUUUUUUUAGGAUUAACUAGAGUUGACAAAACUACCCAGAGAUAUCAAAUUGAAAUAUAUUUUAAUUCAUUUAAUCAAUUGAACAUGAAACAUAAGGCCUCAGUAAAAACACGCCACUCUCUACAGUUUCUUGCUAGUUUUUUAA